GGAGAGCGGUGGUUAAAGGUGUUUGGAGACGACGUUGACGAAGAAGAACAGGCUGAACACGACGUUUUCGGGAUGUGGUGGCACAAGAAAAAUCCAACAUCAACGCGAGACGAACCUCCGUUCUUCAUGGACUACCAUUCCUUCUCGGGGAGGACGCCACAGAUUUUUACAAGACCUGUUUUGACUGUGACGACAAUGAAGACCUGUCUGACAUUACAAUUGGAAUUCCGACGGUGAUUCCCGAGCACUCUGCAACCGCAGCACUACCCUACUCCCUGCGUCUUGAUGCCACAGCAGCAGCUAUCAUUUUGGAAGGUACCGUGGUUGUGGAUAACGUGGAAAAUCUUCCACAAGCAAUGUGUCUGCUCUUUGGACUGAUUUAUGCUCUAAACUUAGAGUAUCCCGCAGCUCUGAAGAGCACAUUUGAUUUCAUACAGAGAGUGAUUUUGUCUCUUGGCCGCUCAAACCUAAAAUCCAAUCACUAAAAAAAUCGCUUGAUGCAGUGAUAUGUCAUUGCCAUGAUGUGAAUGUUCAGUACUACACUGAUAGUGUUUUCCAGUUGUUGAAAAGGAAAAAAAAGUUUACUUAAUAUUAAAGUUAGUUUUAAAAGAGUUUUAUUAGAAGACAAUUUUGAAGAGAACUAUAUUAGGAAAGCUUUACUAAAUUUACAGACUGUUCAGUGUUUGCAAGCUCUGCUUUUGACCACUUUGUAAAAAUGUUUUAAAAAAAGAGAGAGAAGAAUUUUGUCCUAUUGUACUUUAUUUUAAGUGCAAUAUGUGUUGUUGUUUUUUUUUGUCUAAAUUGUUUUUGGCAGCCCAUGUUGACAGGC